AUGAACGCUAGCGGCAGGCUUAACACAUGCAAGUCGAGGGGCAACACGGGUAGCAAUACCUGGGUGGCGACCGGCGCAAGGGUGCGUAACGCGUGAGCAACAUACCCUAUACAGGGGGAUAAUCCAGGGAAACUUGGUCUAAUAUCCCAUAGGAUUUACAGAUGUCACCAUCUAUAAAUUAAAGCUUCGGUGGUAUAGGAUUGGCUCGCGUGACAUUAGCUAGAUGGUGGGGUAACGGCCUACCAUGGCCAUGAUGUCUAGGGGUUCUGAGGGGAAGACCCCCCACACUGGGACUGAGACACGGCCCAGACUCCUACGGGAGGCAGCAGUGAGGAAUAUUGGACAAUGGAUGGAAAUCUGAUCCAGCCAUGCCGCGUGCAGGAAGACGGCCCUAUGGGUUGUAAACUGCUUUUAUAUGGGAGCAAUAAGGUCUACGCGUAGACCGAUGAGAGUACCAUAUGAAUAAGCAUCGGCUAACUCCGUG
rnacentral:rRNA from 1 species